AUCACUUCUUGGCCUUUUGGCUAAUAUCAAACAUAGUAUCUAUUCUUAUUAGUUUAAUAUCUGAUAUGUCCUCUGUCUGAGGACAUUAUAUCAAAUGGAAUUUUUGAGCUGUAAGAUGGAAUAGGAGCUUUCUUCAUCCACUCCAUGUAUUGACAUGAUAUUGCAGUACAUCCAGAAACAAUAGCCCCACA
ensembl:snRNA U2 U2 spliceosomal RNA